rnacentral:snRNA from 1 species
GAAUGUGAGGGCGAUCUGGCUGUGACAUCUGUCACCCCACUGAUUGCCAGGGUUGAUGUGGCUGGCUAGGCGGGUGUCCUUUCCUCCUCAGCAUUCCAUGUACAUCCCUCCCGAAGCUCUCGGUCAAAGAGGAUGACCUUCCCUGAUAGAGGAGGACCCAUCUUCAGUCAAGGGUAUAUGAGUAGCUGCACUCCCCUGCUAGAAUCUCCACACAAGCUCCCAAGAAGCAGGUUCAUAAAGUCUUUAAGACUCAUAUAGUCAGAUAACCUGAUGAGCAUUUGAAUAUUAUCU